UACAUGCAAGUCGAGCGAACAGAUGAGAAGCUUGCUUCUCUGAUGUUAGCGGCGGACGGGUGAGUAACACGUGGGUAACCUACCUAUAAGACUGGGAUAACUCCGGGAAACCGGGGCUAAUACCGGAUAAUAUUUUGAACCGCAUGGUUCAAUAGUGAAAGACGGUUUCGGCUGUCACUUAUAGAUGGACCCGCGCCGUAUUAGCUAGUUGGUAAGGUAACGGCUUACCAAGGCGACGAUACGUAGCCGACCUGAGAGGGUGAUCGGCCACACUGGAACUGAGACACGGUCCAGACUCCUACGGGAGGCAGCAGUAGGGAAUCUUCCGCAAUGGGCGAAAGCCUGACGGAGCAACGCCGCGUGAGUGAUGAAGGUCUUCGGAUCGUAAAACUCUGUUGUUAGGGAAGAACAAAUUUGUUAGUAACUGAACAAGUCUUGACGGUACCUAACCAGAAAGCCACGGCUAACUACGUGCCAGCAGCCGCGGUAAUACGUAGGUGGCAAGCGUUAUCCGGAAUUAUUGGGCGUAAAGCGCGCGUAGGCGGUUUCUUAAGUCUGAUGUGAAAGCCCACGGCUCAACCGUGGAGGGUCAUUGGAAACUGGGAAACUUGAGUGCAGAAGAGGAGAGUGGAAUUCCAUGUGUAGCGGUGAAAUGCGCAGAGAUAUGGAGGAACACCAGUGGCGAAGGCGGCUCUCUGGUCUGUAACUGACGCUGAUGUGCGAAAGCGUGGGGAUCAAACAGGAUUAGAUACCCUGGUAGUCCACGCCGUAAACGAUGAGUGCUAAGUGUUAGGGGGUUUCCGCCCCUUAGUGCUGCAGCUAACGCAUUAAGCACUCCGCCUGGGGAGUACGACCGCAAGGUUGAAACUCAAAGGAAUUGACGGGGACCCGCACAAGCGGUGGAGCAUGUGGUUUAAUUCGAAGCAACGCGAAGAACCUUACCAAAUCUUGACAUCCUUUGACCGCUCUAGAGAUAGAGUCUUCCCCUUCGGGGGACAAAGUGACAGGUGGUGCAUGGUUGUCGUCAGCUCGUGUCGUGAGAUGUUGGGUUAAGUCCCGCAACGAGCGCAACCCUUAAGCUUAGUUGCCAUCAUUAAGUUGGGCACUCUAGGUUGACUGCCGGUGACAAACCGGAGGAAGGUGGGGAUGACGUCAAAUCAUCAUGCCCCUUAUGAUUUGGGCUACACACGUGCUACAAUGGAUAAUACAAAGGGCAGCGAAUCCGCGAGGCCAAGCAAAUCCCAUAAAAUUAUUCUCAGUUCGGAUUGUAGUCUGCAACUCGACUACAUGAAGCUGGAAUCGCUAGUAAUCGUAGAUCAGCAUGCUACGGUGAAUACGUUCCCGGGUCUUGUACACACCGCCCGUCACACCACGAGAGUUUGUAACACCCGAAGCCGGUGGAGUAACCUUUUAGGAGCUAGCCGUCGA
rnacentral:rRNA from 1 species